GCGGGACGGGGCGGUGACCCGGGGUAGGCGGUUCCAGCCCGCAGCCCGAGGCACCGGAGGAAGACGCGGCGCUGGGUUAAGAGGGGCCGGGGCUGCGGUGGCUAUAGGUCGGCCUGGCCCCGGAAGUCGGGCUGCGCCGUUGUGAUCGUCGUAGGCGAGGGCGGGGAUGCGGAGGCGGCGACUGCCGUCUUCCCUCCCCGAUCGGCUCGGCCCUGCCCGCGCGGCUCGGUUAAUUUAAUGCCACUAAGUGCCGGAUUGAGAGUCUCAGAAAGAACUGUUACCUCCCCCUAAGAACAAGUAAAGCCUGGAUGUCAUAAGCCAUGGGAAAUCCAGAAAAUAUAGAAGAUGCAUAUGUUGCUGUCAUUCGUCCAAAGAAUACUGCCAGUCUCAAUUCUCGGGAAUAUCGAGCUAAAUCAUAUGAAAUUUUGUUGCUUGAAGUUCCCAUUGAAGGACAAAAGAAAAAAAGGAAAAAGGUUUUACUUGAAACUAAACUUCAGGGGAGUAGUGAAAUAACACAAAGCAUUUUGGAUUAUGUAGUAGAAACUACCAAACCAAUUUCUCCUGCCAAUCAGGGUAUCAAAGGAAAACGAGUAGUAUUAAUGAAGAAAUUUCCUCUCGAUGGAGAAAAAGUGGGCAAAGAGGCAUCUUUAUUUAUUGUUCCAUCAGUUGUCAAAGAUAAUACUAAAUAUUCAUAUAGUCCAGGAUGUCCAGUUUUCUACUGUUUACAAGAUAUCAUGCGAGUCUGUAGUGAAUCCAGCACUCACUUUGCCACUCUUACAGCAAGAAUGUUAAUUGCUCUGGAUAAGUGGUUAGAUGAGCGACAUGCACAAUCUCAUUUCAUUCCAGCUUUAUUCCGACCUUCUCCUCUUGAGCGGAUAAAAACUAAUGUCAUCAACCCAGCAUAUGCCACUGAACCAAGCCAGAUAGAAAAUUCACUUCAUAUGGGCUAUAGUGCAUUAGAAAUAAAAAGUAAGAUGUUAGCCUUGGAAAAAGCAGAUACUUGUAUCUAUAAUCCUUUGUUUGGGUCAGAUCUGCAGUAUACAAACAGGGUAGAUAAAGUGGUAAUAAAUCCAUACUUUGGCCUUGGAGCUCCAGAUUAUUCAAAAAUUCAGAUUCCUAAGCAAGAAAAGUGGCAGAGAAGCAUGAGCAGUGUUACAGAAGACAAAGAACAUCAGUGGGUAGAUGAUUUCCCUCUUCAUCGAAGUGCUUGUGAAGGAGAUUCAGAAUUAUUAAACCGUCUUCUCAAUGAUAGUUUUUCAGUAAACCAGCUAGAUAAUGACCACUGGGCACCUAUUCAUUAUGCAUGCUGGUAUGGAAAAGUUGAGGCCACUCGCAUACUGUUAGAAAAAGGAAAGUGUAAUCCAAACCUCUUAAAUGGACAGCUUAGUUCUCCCCUUCAUUUUGCUGCUGGAGGAGGACAUGUUGAAAUAGUGCAAAUCCUUCUAAACCAUCCAGAAGUGGACAGACACAUUAUUGACCAGCAAGGAAGGUCUCCUUUAAAUGUCUGUGAAGAAAACAAACAGAAUGACUGGGAGGAGACUGCAAAACUGUUGAAGGAAGCCAUAAACAAACCAUAUGAAAAGGUACGGAUAUAUCGAAUGGAUGGAUCUUACCGUUCUGUUGAACUAAAACAUGGGAACAAUACCACAGUACAACAGAUUAUGGAAGGAAUGCGUCUUUCUCAUGAAACACAGCAGUAUUUCACUAUUUGGAUCUGUUCAGAAAAUCUCAGCCUUCAGCUGAAGCCCUAUCACAAACCUUUACAACAUGUUCGUGACUGGCCAGAAAUAUUGAAUGAAUUGACAAAUUUGGAUCCUCAAAGGGAAACGCCACAGCUUUUCCUAAGAAGAGAUGUGAGACUUCCACUGGAAGUUGAGAAAAAGAUUGAAGACCCAUUAGCCAUUCUUAUUCUCUUUGAUGAAGCCAGAUAUAAUUUGCUGAAAGGCUUUUAUACAUCUCCUGAUGCUAAGUUGAUAACACUGGCAAGUCUACUGUUGCAGAUAGUUUAUGGGAAUUAUGAAAGUAAAAAGCACAAACAAGGUUUCCUCAAUGAAGAAAAUCUAAAAUCCAUAGUUCCAAUCACCAAAUUGAAAAGUAAGGCACCUCACUGGACAAAUAGAAUACUUCACGAAUACAAGAAUCUUAGUACAAGUGAAGGUGUCAGUAAGGAAAUGCACCACCUUCAACGCAUGUUCUUACAGAAUUGCUGGGAAGUUCCUACAUAUGGAGCAGCAUUUUUUACAGGACAAGUCUUUACCAAAGCAAGUUCUAGCAGCCAUAAAGUCAUUCGAGUUUAUGUAGGCGUAAAUAUAAAAGGGCUACAUCUCCUUAAUAUGGAAACAAAGACUUUACUCAUCAGUCUCAAAUAUGGUUGCUUUAUGUGGCAGUUGGGAGAUGCUGAUACCUGCUUUCAGAUUCACAGUCUGGAAAAUAAAAUGAGCUUUAUAGUACACACCAAACAGGCAGGUCUUGUCGUAAAACUGCUCUUGAAGCUUAAUGGACAGUUAAUGCCUACUGAGAGAAAUGAAUGAUUCUGAAGAAGUCUUGUGAACACAGAUUUCUUUCACUGACUGCCAGCUUUAUCAAGAUAUUUAGCCUGUUGUAUUAUGUUCUCAGGACUUAAUACAGUGCCCAUCACCAAGUAAGCAACUUUAACCAAUGCUUUUUGAUUGGCUUAUUUAGCAAAGUAUUCCCAUAGAUCCUCUGCCAUUGCUCACAUCCUAGCAGCCAUAUUUAGCCUUGAAUAGGAAAGAAAGGAGUGAAGGGCUUUGUAGUAAGAUGCCUAUUAUUUCUUAAGCACCUCAAGUAGUUACCAUCGUGACAGAUCUGCCCUCUCUACUUCUUUACCUUGUGAUACCAGGAAAAGACUCCUCCAUCAGGCACAUAUGUAUAUGUGCUUGUAUAUAUGCUGCCCUCAGUCUUUACCUAAUAGUUUGGGUUUUGGUGGUUUUUUUUGGGUUUUUUUUUUUUUUUUGGUUUGUUUUUUUAAGGAACAACUUCUAUUGAAACUAAUAUAUUUUUGUGUUUGAUAAAAUGUGAUUACAAAAGAAAUAUGAAAACCUUUCCCUGUCCCCAGUGUCCUUCAGACCCAAGGGCAAUUUAUAGGAAGAAGCAAAAGUAAUGUGAAUUAGCACAUGAAACAAUUUAGAAGUUUAGUAAACAGCAAAUUUACCUAAUCUUAUUUGCUUCAGUUUUCUAAUCUGUAAAAUGAACCAGAGAAAGAAAUGGCAAACCCCUCCAGUAUCUCAGCCAGGAAAACCCUUGAAGGGGUCAUGAAGAGUGAGACCAGAUUGAAAAGAAUGAAAAACAAAAUGUUAAAGUUUCUGGUACUGACUAAAAUAGAAUUCAGAGAAAGGAGGGAGGGCUGUGGCAAGUGAAGUCCAUGGAGGAAUUCACAAAAAGAAAAAAGCCAGGCUAAGUUUUUUUAUGGACAGGUAAAGAGUAGCAGGACUGGCUUGUGCAAUGAUGGGGAAGUAAGAAUAAUAGUGACAUGUACCCAGAAUACCUUCAGGCAUUGGUGGGCAGAAUGGGUUACAAUGGGUCACGAAAAGUUAAAGGAAGAUGAUCUUAAAAAAAACUUCAGAACUCCAUUCCAUGCAAUCUGGACUCUUGACUAACAAUGGAAUGUAUCUCUUCUCAAUAGAGAGGUGGUAGACUACAGAGAUGGAAUAAAGCAGGCACCUCAUCGGUCAUGGCCAUGGCUGAUGGGAUUUGUUAACUGAUGCUUUGCUGGAAACAAGGGGAUUCUACUGGAAAGUGACAGUAAUGAGCUCAAACUGCUCCCAGCCUCCACCAAGAACUGUCCAUAAAACAAGCUUCCCUCAGCUCAGUUCCCUGCAGAGGACCUAACAUGCCAUGGCAAGGCACCUCUCUCUCCCCUUGGCAUAGUUGUAACCCCUUCCCGCUGAAAUGAUAUUCUCUUUCAGCCUGACUCCCUCUUUAUCUUUCUCAUCUAUUUCCCAAUAAGAUCUUAUUCACCUCUCUGUUGGGAUUUCUCUGCUGGAAGCAUUCUCUGCUAGAGGAUUUGUCUGCUAGAUCUUUAAUAAUAAACUUUCUUUGCCAGUUUAACUUUUCACAUUUGUAAGUUCAUUUAUGAAGAACCUGCGCCACCAGAAGGGGGUUCCCACAACUCCCUGUUCUGCACCAAACCUCAUCAUUUGACUCCCUGACUGGGAAUUGAGGGGAGCCGAACCUCUUCACAAGUGUAUUCACAUGAACUGCAAACUACAUUAGUUUCUUGGAGAAAGAAAGAAGUCACUCAAAACAUCAAUCAUGUGGACUUUGGGGACUGGUAGCAAAAGGCAAAUGAAGUUGAUCUAUAGUAAUUACAAAUGGGCUGGCCCUUCAGGCUUCAGGGAGAUAUGAAGCACAACUCCCUGGGCAAAUACAUGUGCAAUCUGCAAGGUUCAGUCCAAGCCUAAUGGCCCAGGUUGCAGUGGAUGACCUUGGCAUUUUUGAUUUUGAUCAAGCUCUUACGCACUCCACAGCUCUUGCCUUCGUGGCUAUUGGAACAAAUUGUUUUCAUCCACCCAUUUCGGGACAGGAGGAAAGGAGGAAGAAUCUUCAUAUUCUUGGGGUAGAUACACCUCUAACUCACUGAAAGGUUUGUGGAUUGUUGAUUACCCUUAAUUUGGUUUAGCCCAUAUGCCAAGAUUUUACUGGCAUGUAGCUGCUUCUUGGAGCCACAGGUGAGAGCUCAGUGCCAGGAGGACACAAAAUAUGGAUGAGCAACUGAAAUUCCUCAUGCCAGAGGUACUAGUCCUCCUGGAAUACCCAUAUACCCACCUAUCUCCAAUAGAGAAUAGAUGGACUCAGAGUGCAGAUGGAAGUAUGUUGUCUUUUUUUUUUUUUUUUUUUUUUU